rnacentral:misc_RNA from 1 species
UGGAGACGAGAAUCAUUGUGAAUGAGGCAAAUAGUUAUCCUUAUUCCUCGUCCGCUAGGAUGAGCUUCUGCAAAACCGAAAAGAAACCCCACCAAACGAGGGAGAAGAAAAGAGGGGUGGACUACAUUUCUCUCGUACUCAUCAAGACAAUAAUAUGCAACUAAAUUUAUACACAUAGUUGUCUCAAGUUCGAGUUUCAAUAAAAUAUAUAUAUAUAUAUAUA